rnacentral:rRNA from 1 species
UCCCGCACAAACGGCGGGGUAUGUGGUAGAAAGAUAAACAACGUCAAGACACCUUCUAGGUCUUUCUUCCUGUGAAAAGCCUAGAGAUAAGGGUUCUCCUUUUUGAGCAGAGAGACAGGUGGUGCAUGGUUGUCGUCAGCUCGCGUCGUGAGAUGUUGGGUUAAGUCCCGCAAUGGGCGCAACCCUUGAUUUUAGUUGCCAUCAUUAAGUUGGGCACUCUAAGGUGACUGCCGGUGACAAACCGGAGGAAGGUGGGGAUGACGUCAAAUCAUCAUGCCCCUUAUGACCUGGGCUACACACGUGCUACAAUGGACGGUACAAAGAGCUGCAAGACCGCGAGGUGGAGCUAAUCUCAUAAAACCGUUCUCAGUUCGGAUUGUAGGCUGCAACUCGCCUACAUGAAGCUGGAAUCGCUAGUAAUCGCGGAUCAGCAUGCCGCGGUGAAUACGUUCCCGGGCCUUGUACACACCGCCCGUCACACCACGAGAGUUUGUAACACCCGAAGUCGGUGGGGUAACCUUUUUGGAGCCAGCCGCCUAAGGUGGGACAGAUGAUUGGGGUGAAGUCGUAACAAGGUAGCC